GCUCCAUUCGUCUAGAGGCCCAGGACGCAGCCCUCUCAAGGCUAAAACACGGGUUCGAAUCCCGUAUGGAGCA
rnacentral:tRNA from 1 species